rnacentral:rRNA from 1 species
UACGUAGGGGGCUAGCGUUGUCCGGAAUCAUUGGGCGUAAAGCGCGCGUAGGCGGCCAGAUAAGUCCGGUGUGAAAGCCACAGGCUCAACCUGUGAAUGCCGCUGGAAACUGUCUGGCUAGAGUCCGGGAGGGGCGAGUGGAACUCCUGGUGUAGCGGUGAAAUGCGCAGAUAUCAGGAGGAACACCAAUGGCGAAGGCAGCUCGCUGGAACGGUACUGACGCUGAGGCGCGAAAGCGUGGGGAGCGAACAGG